CCUACGGGAGGCAGCAGUGGGGGAUAUUGCACAAUGGGGGGAACCCUGAUGCAGCGACGCCGCGUGGGUGAAGGAGCGUUUCGGCGCGUAAAGCCCUAUCGGCAGGGAAGAAGGAGGACGGUACCUGACUAAGAAGCCCCGGCUAACUACGUGCCAGCAGCCGCGGUAAUACGUAGGGGGCAAGCGUUAUCCGGAUUUACUGGGUGUAAAGGGAGCGUAGACGGCAGUGCAAGUCCGGAGUGAAAGCCCGGGGCUCAACCCUGGGACUGCUCUGGAAACUGCAAAGCUGGAGUGCGGGAGGGGCAGGCGGAAGUCCUGGUGUAGCGGUGAAAUGCGUAGAUAUCAGGAGGAACACCGGCGGCGAAGGCGGCCUGCUGGACCGUAACUGACGUUGAGGCUCGAAAGCGUGGGGAGCAAACAGGAUUAGAUACCCUUGUAGUC
rnacentral:rRNA from 1 species